GUUCUCACUUUGGCAGCACAUACACUAACAUUGGAACAAUACAGAGAAGAUUAGCAUGGUCCCUAUGCAAGAAUGACAUGCAAAUUUGUGAAGCUGAGAGAGAGAGA
ensembl:snRNA U6 U6 spliceosomal RNA